rnacentral:rRNA from 1 species
UGGCGGCAUGCCUUACACAUGCAAGUCGAACGGCAGCACGGGAGCAAUCCUGGUGGCGAGUGGCGAACGGGUGAGUAAUAUAUCGGAACGUGCCCGGUCGUGGGGGAUAACGUAGCGAAAGCUACGCUAAUACCGCAUACGAUCUACGGAUGAAAGCGGGGGAUCGCAAGACCUCGCGCGAUUGGAGCGGCCGAUAUCAGAUUAGGUAGUUGGUGAGGUAAAGGCUCACCAAGCCGACGAUCUGUAGCUGGUCUGAGAGGACGACCAGCCACACUGGGACUGAGACACGGCCCAGACUCCUACGGGAGGCAGCAGUGGGGAAUUUUGGACAAUGGGCGCAAGCCUGAUCCAGCAAUGCCGCGUGCAGGAUGAAGGCCUUCGGGUUGUAAACUGCUUUUGUACGGAACGAAACGGUGAGCUCUAAUACAGUUUGCUAAUGACGGUACCGUAAGAAUAAGCACCGGCUAACUACGUG